rnacentral:rRNA from 1 species
GAGGUUGUGCCCUUGAGGCGUGGCUUCCGGAGCUAACGCGUUAAGUCGACCGCCUGGGGAGUACGGCCGCAAGGUUAAAACUCAAAUGAAUUGACGGGGGCCCGCACAAGCGGUGGAGCAUGUGGUUUAAUUCGAUGCAACGCGAAGAACCUUACCUGGUCUUGACAUCCACAGAACUUUCCAGAGAUGGAUUGGUGCCUUCGGGAACUGUGAGACAGGUGCUGCAUGGCUGUCGUCAGCUCGUGUUGUGAAAUGUUGGGUUAAGUCCCGCAACGAGCGCAACCCUUAUCCUUUGUUGUCAGCGGUCCGGCCGGGAACUCAAAGGAGACUGCCAGUGAUAAACUGGAGGAAGGUGGGGAUGACGUCAAGUCAUCAUGGCCCUUACGACCAGGGCUACACACGUGCUACAAUGGCGCAUACAAAGAGAAGCGACCUCGCGAGAGCAAGCGGACCUCAUAAAGUGCGUCGUAGUCCGGAUUGGAGUCUGCAACUCGACUCCAUGAAGUCGGAAUCGCUAGUAAUCGUGGAUCAGAAUGCCACGGUGAAUACGUUCCCGGGCCUUGUACACACCGCCCGUCACACCAUGGGAGUGGGUUGCAAAAGAAGUNNNNNNNUUAACCUUCGGGAGGGCGCUUACCACUUUGUGAUUCAUGACUGGGGUGAAGUCGUAACAAGGUAACCGUAA